GUCUGCAUUUUUCCAAAGGUACUUGUAGUAUGGACUUUAAAGUUAACAUUAAGAAUGUGCCAACUCUCCUUCCACAUUUUUUCUGUGAAAUAUUUUAAUACGAAUACUAAAACUAAGGUCUGUUCUGGAGCACGUUACGCCUACGCCAAGUUGACUUCCCUCUGUCUAUUUCCUCUUCCUGAAAGCAUGUAAUCUUCUGUUUCCGUGCGCUUACUAGUAAAUGAUACCGUGAAAAUAAUUUUGUACUAAAAGAGGGGAGAAACUGUUCGUAAGAGUUCAGCUGUUCAGAAGAAACGGGCUUUGUUUUCACGAUAAAAGCUUUAUGCUUCUGCAGUCAAUGAGUUUUUUUAAAUAUCUUAUAGGAGUACUCGACAACCUUACUGAGAUAACUAGCACCUGUACUAAAAGCAAUCAAGGUCAAAGAAGAGACGCGGACAAAACAGGACAAACUGGCGUCGCUUCCGUGUGUUUUCCAGGUUUUCCCAGGAAGCAUCAGCAGCCUUGUAACUAGUGACAGUGAGUCCUGAGGUGGUUUUGCUUUAUUCACCAAACGAGCAAGAUGCAAAGCAGCAGCAGCAGCGCAAGGGCUGUAGCUGUUGCGGUGGAUCCGUAAGCGUAGAUUCUGAUUGCGUACGACCUCGUCCCGCAGCCUCCCAGGGUUAUCUCCCUGCAGCAGUGCUGUAAGGAAGGGAGGAGACGUUUUCCAACACCGGCAAGAGUGUUUACUUGUAUGCUAAGAAGGUGUUCAAAGUGGUAUCGAUUAGCCUAAAUGCUGAUUUUAAGCGUUCAAAUCGCUCUUAACUUUUAAAGGAGGUGGUGUAUUUCGAGCUGACCUGUUUACCUGGAAUCCUCCUUUAGCUCAGCGACUCUUCUUGUGCACCCCCAGCCUCCGCUGGCAGGGCGGUAUGAGAAGCUGGAAGGUCCUUGACUUAAUAUAAACACUGCUUAGCAACAACUAAA